rnacentral:rRNA from 1 species
GACAGAGGAGCCAAGCGUUGUCCGGAUUGACUGGGCGUAAAGCGUCCGCAGGUGGCAGUUCAAGUCUGCUGUCAAAGACCGGGGCUUAACUUCGGAAAGGCAGUGGAAACUGAACAGCUAGAGUAUGGUAGGGGCAGAGGGAAUUCCUGGUGUAGCGGUGAAAUGCGUAGAGAUCAGGAAGAACAUCGGUGGCGAAGGCGCUCUGCUGGACCAUAACUGACACUCAGGGACGAAAGCUAGGGGAGCGAAUGGG